rnacentral:misc_RNA from 1 species
CUGAACUGUCGACACGAGUUGUUGCUGGUCCUCAGAUGGGGGCAUGUGCACACUCUGUUUACAAACCCACUCACACCUGUGCACCCUCUGUAGUUCUGUGGUGUGGGGGACACUGUCCUCCCACUGUGGUUCUAUGUCUUUACACACACACUCAGUGAUAAAGUCUUAUGGAAUGUAUGUCGCGUUUAACGCAAUACAAUA